CAAGGUUUUACAUUUCUGUUCUGGCUCUUACACCAGUGUUUGCAGAAAUGCAGGAUCACUGAGGUCAGUAUCAGUUCCUCUGGCCAGUGAGUGACAGCAACGCUUUUAAUUUGGCAGGCCAGCAUCAUUCCAGUAACUAGCACAGGGGAAAAAACACGCACACACGCAGCCUUCUCCUGUCCGUGGCAGCCGGAGCACCUUUCAGACAUCCUGCUUCACCUGCUGACACAACCCAUCAGCGCCCACUGCAAUCAAAUGCAGCUAAUUGGAAGGUGAUGACAGCCAAGGGUCUGCUGGAUUUGCAUGCUAACUCCUCUAUUUUAUCGUCACACAGCCAAACUACAGGUUGAACACCCUCCUGAGAAAAGCAGGAUUCCUGUAUGGAGGAAGGAUGACACUCAGGCACACGCCCUGGCUUUGCAGCAGCAGGUUCAAAGUGCUGACAGCACCCACAACUUCUUCAAGCAGAGUUGCCUACCUGUCUCAGCCAAAGGUUUUGCAGUUUUUAGCUGCUGAAUACUCAGAGACGAACCAGACUUUUCACAUGGACAGAACCAGAACUGGAAAUUUCAUCAGCAUUCUGCUUCUUCCAGCAUGUCUUUAUUGGCCUGAACACAGUCCUUUUCUUGUGGAAAUAAGAAUGUCACCAUGAACGUCCAGUGGCAAACUGGAUAAGAAAGAGUGUCACAGUCCAGGACAACCUAGAAGAUGACAGGUAUUUCCAGGCAUAGCAAUGAUGAGAUCAAAUUCCCCUCAACCUGCCUUGUUUGCUGAUCUUUUAAUCAGAUUCAACUUCACUGCAGCUACAGCACAAGGUUCCCUGACAAUGUAUGACAGCAUGUGACAGAAAAAUAUUUUGAUUUUUUUUUGGCCAUUUGAUGCUGUUGCAGAUAAAUCUGAAGCCCCAGCAUCUGAUAAAUGUACUAAACUAUUUUAGCGAAGGUUUUAAAAUGUGCAUAAUUGCUUGGGGUCUGGGGUUUGCGUUUGUAUGUUUGUAGUGGAAUCCAAACAGGAAAGCUGGGAAAUGAUCUAAACCCUUUGAGGUUAACAUGCCAUGAAAGAGCAUCAACAGUUGAAGAGGACAUUAUUAAAAAGCAGCCAACCUGGCUCGAAAAGAACAACUGUGUGAAGCAAGAGCCCACAGAACAACACCCAGGGCUGUUUGUGGUCCUGCAGGGAUACGUAUUUCAUCCCAUCCUCAUCUCUCCAAAUUUCCUUUGAACCGCUUGUGAGCUGCGUUCUUGGAAAAGAAAAACACCAGCAACUACUGAACGCGUCUUAUCAACCUUUUCCCUGCAAUCUGGUUCGUAUUCCUCUCACACCCGUGUUCUCGCAGUGACUUGGGGAAAUGCUUGGAUCAAAGGUAAGAGAGAACAAGGAAAGGAAUGAAGCAAGUAACAACCAACGAAACCAAACCACCACCCCCAAACUUUUUGACUAAACUCCUCUGUGAAUCGUGUGCAUGAUUAUAGCAAAGUUAAAACUGCCUUCUUCUUCGCCAGUACUUAAUUCCUGCUUUUAAAAUCAGGCUCCCUUUGAUCUUGGGGAUUGAAAUGAUCUGGAAAUGAAACAGCCAUUACUUUGCAGAAAAUCUGGAUAGGGUCCCAGACAUGGCUUUUACCUGGAAGGCUUCCAAAACAGGAUGAAAUCUCUCCAGUUUCAGAACAAAUUGCAAGAUUUUUUCUCUAUGUCUAGUCCAACUGUGGAACUCGAGCCCCGAUGUCUGCUGGUUCCCAAAUCGCAGAUGUAAUAACCUCCGGGGUGAACUGAGAGCAUUAUUCCUCCUCUGCCUCUCCUCUGAGGGUCACGGGCUGGGAAAAUUUUAUUAUAGUGAAGGUUUAAAGUUCUGGGCAAACUUAAGUUAAGGAGACAGUUGGUUAUAACCCAGGCUAAAUCCAGCCAUGUGAAGGCUGGAGAGGACAGAGAACCAGGACCAUCUGUAACAUCUGGAUCCUGUUGCAGGCACAGAAAUAUCUGCCUGGCUUCGUAUGACCUGGUCCCGGAGCCAAAAGGGCUUAGAAAUGUGGUUAAGAGACACUCAAGCAGGCUUUGCCCUAGCAAAUACAUCCCACUGAGAAAGCAAGCACAUCAAUAUUUCUUUGACUGUGUUUCCUUUAUUUAAUAUAUUUCCAUAUGUUGCAUGAAUAUUUCUCUUAUUGCAGCUUGUAAGUCCAUCUGGUACUUGUAUUGGGAGGGCUUGAACUGGAAGAUCCUACACUGUGCUGUUACACAGAAACCUGGACUGCCCAUACAAGGACAGGUAGGUGGUUGGAUGGAGACAACUUCUCCUCAGCUAUCUUUUUAAUUAGAUUAUGAACUUCUCAAAGCAAUCAAGAUAAGCAGGUUAGUUACUAUCGAUAAGCUCACACAGUGCCAUUUUUUUAUGUUACAAAAUGAGCAUGGGCUCUGUCUCUGAAGUACAGCAGUCCACAACUGAGAAAUCUCUCCUUUCUUCAUGUGCUGGGUAGCCAGAAGCUACACAGCACAACAAUCCUGGUCUAAGAAGUGUAAAUGACAAAGGAUUCCUAAGCACCUAUACUAAGCAGAAAAUGUGCUGAAGUAUCAUAGUUUACAAAGACAAUAAGAAUCAAUUUCCCUUGCAUGUGUUAUUCAGGAACUAGGGAAUAAUUAUCUGCUUUAAUAUGAGGGUUUUUUUUCCUUCUGCAUGAUUAACUUCACUGUUAUCAACAGAGAGUGUGAUGACUCCAAAAUGACAGCUCCUGGUCACACAUUCUGGGAUUAGCAAAAACAGGUUGUCAGUUUACCCUAGCCAGGAAAGGUCAGUCGCUGUGUGCUGAGUUCUGGACAGAGGAGCUGGGUUCUGCACCAAGCAUCCGACAGCCCAAGCAGCAGGUCCAGGUCCUGCCAGGUGGCUCUUGGGUUGGGUGUGCAGGACUAGCUGCUUCGACAGGAGACUCGGGGUCUUCUGAGGCAGCACCGCGUGAUUUUUGGCUGUUCAGCUUCCAGACUGAAAGCACUGAGUUGUCUUUGUGAUAAACUCUGACCUGCAUCAGCCUGGAGAUCUCUGAGCAGCCCCACCAUGAGGCACAGGGCUCUGUCUCUCCCAGUUUCACUGUUCGUUAUAGCAACGAGCAACUCAUUAAGCUGAGUCUAAAAUAUUAUGUACUUUAAAAUGUCUGGCUCUAAUGGUAUCCCUGUCUCUGACUACUCAACGUGCAAAGUGACAGCACAUACACCAGCCCAGGGAAAGGAUGGAGAGAAAAGUAGGACAAACACAGAUUCUCCCAGCAUGUCUAUGGUCCAGCUUUAUUAGCAAGUAUCCGCUCUGGACUGCAUUCUUACUUGAAUAUAAAAUUCUUGGAGAAUCUUCCUGCAUCUUAGCAUAAAAUUAAGAGAUGAUAUUUAUCAGAGCAAUACUCUAAUUAGCCACACUCAACAGCCUGUGUCUGGAGCCUUGUCCAUUUUGAUAUAUGCAACAAAACUGCAACCUAUUCAUCUUUAGAGUCUGAACUCCAGCAAUGUUUAUGAAGCAGACACAAGCUCAUACAUGAACCCUACUCUGCAGCAAGUUUUCUCCCCAGAACAUCCCCGGUCCUGCAGAAGUUCAAACCUGGCUCUGAGGUGUCCACCUUCAACACAUGAAUGCAUCUCCUAGAAGGAUCCUUAGAUUUGAAGCAUGGCUGCAAACUGUGGUCAGCCGGGAAGGCCCAGGCAGAAGCAGCUCACCCCUGAAGAUGCCAUCUCCCCACAGCUUCUGCAGUGAGAUUCCGCAUCUGAGAACUGCUGAAAUCACAUAAUACCAUCAUCCUUCUUUCUGGGCAGCUCCCGCCAGAAUAGAAAACGUAUUUUUCCCAUUGCUACUCAACUCCUGUUUGGCACAGACAAGGCUGAAGCAAUUGAGAGGCGACCAGGAAGGAGGCAGACAGCCCAGUUGUCUUCCCAUGAUACUGGUAACACAGACUGCACAUUUAAUUGCAAAACCAGAUAAUACGGAAUGGAAUUGCAGGCAGGGUUUUCAACAUUUUCAGGCAGACAUAAAUACAGGAGAGUGGAGGAAGGAAGGGAAAUAGAAGACUAAGGAAGAGGAUUUUAUUCAGUUCACUGACACUAUGGUACCUAAAUUUACUCUAAAUUUACGGAAAUACUUUCAAAAGAGUGAAGGGGACUUCACCCUCCCCUCAAAUUAAGAUUCAGUACAAAUUACUCUCAGAGGCUUUGAACAUUUUCCCACCAGGUACUUCAGAAAAGAAAAACAAAAAACCCUCUAAAACAAAACAUGCAACUCAGAAUAUUUUUUCCCCUUUCUGAUUUAUCAGCCUAAAUUAGGACUGCUUGGUAGGAAAAUUUUCCCCAGAUGAUUUAGAUACACAUAAGGAAUUUUCCUCUUAUUUGCACCACACAGUUGUGUUCAAAAGCAUUUCAAGAACCUGACAAAGUUGCCCAGUAAAUCUAAUGGUUAACUUGAACAAACUACUGUGAGUAACAUCAGUGCUUUCUUUAACUACUUUAUCCUUGGCUAUUGGCAGUAAGCUAAAUCUCUGUCCUGAAGAUGCCUCUAGGUUCCCAUGAAGUUUAGCUCCAGUUUUCAGCUUCAGCAGAAGCAGAAAUUGCACAGUGCAGGGACUGUGAGUUAAAUCACUACUGCAGAUGAUUGUAGAUCUACAAAGGAAGAGGUCAAGGGUGGGUGUUUGGUGUCACUUCUGAAACUGGAGGGACAAUUUAAAGCAGAGAAACGGGGAAGAAGAGAGAGAUGACUUAAAACUGAUAGUCUGUGAUUUCUAGGAAGUUUCAAACUGACUGUGUAACUGUCUCUGUUUUUUGCUGAUCUUGCUGACAAUCUGAAUGGCUGAUGUUACAGACUUCUCAUUUUCCAGAUUCUACUAGAAUUGACACACAUCAAAUAAACGUUCAGUUUUUGUACGGACCAACCUUGGAAUUUGUAAGGUAAACUCAUCUGAGUCUCCUUCCCUCCUAGAACCUCUUCAUUUCAUUAAAAUUACAAUAUACUGAUGGUCCUGAGGCAAAAAGGACUUCAGAGCCUUUAGAGGGAGUCCUACACAAAGAGCAAGUGUGAAACUCUUAACGGUUAUCUUGUCCCCUCAUGGAGUGUUAAUGGGAUGUGCAUUGAUUCAUUGAUGGGAGAUUACACUCCUUAGUGUCUUUGUCAUUAAUACUUAUCGGUAAAAUGUACGACAUGUGGAAGGUCAAUAUCUCAUCCAUAUCUUCUUUUUUUUUUUUUUUUUUUCCCUAAUUUGGUACCUAGUAGUUGGAAAAGUGGCCAGUCAGCCAACUGCAACAGGAGCUGUUAAAAGAAGCCCCAGCUACCAGCAGCCAAAAGGAAAUUUUCAAACAUUGAUUUUCAUAUUAUCGGCUCAAUUUCUUCCUAUACAUACAAUAUCAGAAUGAUUAAAAAAAAAAAAAGUUAGACAAAUAUUUGUACAUAUGGCUAAUGAGAGCACCUGGCAUAGCAGGCAAACAAGCUAAUGGGAAAGAACUGGAAUGGAUGCGGAUCUCACGGUGUGUAUCACAUCCCAAGCAGCUUGUUUUCUCUACUGAUGUCUCCUUCAAAGAGCCUUUUGCACCAUCGAAUGAAUGUGCUGGAUCUACUGCCCUUGAAAACAGUUGGGUUCCCACUCUACCUCAGGGCAAAAGCAAAAGCCACCUGCUUUGGAUGAAGGCUCAUUAAAACCUUCAGGUACCAGCACCUUUGCAGAGAUAUCGAGCAAGCUGGUGAUGGCAUCAGAUACAGACAGAUGUCUCCUAGGACCUGGGCUGGCACCACCAAUUUAUCUCAUGUUGCCCACAAAAUAACUAUCACCUUAUAAAGACUUUCAUUUAUUACUAGUGACUGGUGAACCUCUGGAGGUUUGCUUGGGACAAAUACCAAUUCAGCUGCCAAACCUUAUCCGAACUAUCUGAACCUCUCGUGUCUAAAAAAAUUGGGCUGGAAAUCUCAUCAGAUAAGGAUUUACUCUGUGAUUGACUGUAGUUAUUGCUUCCAGAUGGGCUAGAAUUACUGACAUUACUGCCCUUUCACUUGGUAUUUGGUAUAUCCCAUUCUGGCUGAGAACCUAGGAAAAAACUAUAUGUAUAUUUUUUUGGUCACUAUAUUUUAAACUGAUGUCCAUUUUUCUAGUUUUAGUUCUUCGGUCUCCAUUUCCUAAUUGCUCCUGAGCUGAAAUCUGGCCUUUUUCAGUAGAUGGCCCACUGAUUCCAGUGAAAUCUUUUGACAUUGGCCUGCCUUAUUUUGGUAAGUCAGAGUAAAAGCAGGUAACCAGGAAGGAUGGGAGGAUGGUCAUCCGGCCCCAUUAAAGAGAGCUGCUGAAUGAAAAGCCAGUAUACAUACAGAUAACUGGAACUGUCUGCCUCAACUUUGACUUUUUUUUUCCCCCCUUAUGAAGUCAAAUAAAUAAAGUAUUCCACUGAAAUGAUGCCCACAACAAUUCUAAAUAUUUCCUCUGAUUAUUUACAGUGUAUUAAGAUUUUUAAGUGUAAUAUUUCAUUCAGUCAAACAAGUCUUUUUUUUUUCCCCUUCAUUUCUUAGUUGCUGACAUUUUUUGGAAAUUGUUUAUUGAUGCUGACUGACAACAAUUCUCACCUUCUUGGCCAGACUUUUUCUGAACAAGCAGAAAACUGGAAAUUCCUUUGUCUUACUCUUAUGGAAUAAAAGAAAAGCUACUGUAGCAGUAAACAAGAAACUAAAAUCCUCCAGAAAGACAGUUUCAUUGGCAGCAGAGAAAAGACUGGGACUGAUGGUGGGCCAGGACUCUGUGAGAAUGAGAACCUUUCACAUCAGAAGUGCAAGGAUGCAGAGAGGAGAUGAGAUUGUUUGGAUGGAUGUUUUUUUGGUGCCAAGUCUUUGCUUAGACCAUGUAAGGGACCGCCAGAUGCAUCAGAGGGAUUGGGAUAAAGUAGGCAACAGAAAGCUGUUAGGUUUGAAAAAGGAAAGCGUACUCUGCAAAUGAGAAGAAGAAAAAAAAAAGUCCAUUACUGUAAAUCUGUGAUAUGUCCAAAAGCACCAUGUGAUUUUAAUGGCACAGCAUCUCCAUGGAGGGUCACCUAGUGAUUAGGAAGGGAGGAAUUCCCAACUGAGAACAGGUCAAUGGUUCUGUUCUUUCUCUAGCUGGUCUCUGACAGCGCCAGUUUUGAAAGAUGAACUGUGGAGUCAUUUCCCAAGGGAAGCGGUGGAAGUCCCACAUCAGGAGACUUUUACAACUAGAUCAGACAAAACACUAGAAAAUGUACUGUAGCUGUAGCGAGCGAUUCUGCAUCAGCAGGGAGAUGGAUUGAAUGAUCUAAUAUGGCUCUUCCAUCUGCAAUUCCUGUGAGUCUAUGAAUCACAUUUCUGUGUGGCAAUGCAGCCGAGUAAAUACAGUGCAGAGCAAAACCAUCAGCUAUCUUGGUGUCUCUAUAACAGUAACAUGAGUAAAUUAGGCAGACUAAUUCCAAAAAGGGAUAUAUUUGACUCUCUGGUUCUAAAUCCAUCUGUUCAAACUGGCUAUAGUACAGUAUGUUACUGCUAAUUCCUAAGUGGUUCAGGCUGGAUAACAGGAUAUUUUGUGUCAGGUGUGCUAUUAGCAAAGAACUAAACGAUUAUUAAUUCACAUUUUGUUGUACAAAGCUAGUAUUUCCUAAGUAAGCCACCACAUUUUGGAUCAAUAUAAAGAGUGACCCAGCUAUCUAUAGCCUCUGUGAAUUUUAACUUUAACCAUAUGGAAGUAUCUUGCAAAAGUAGACUAUAAAAAUUUAAAAUAUGUCAGUUUAAGACGCAAAGUAUCUUAUGACUGGAAAAAGACAAGGGUGGAAGGAUUGAAAAAUCUUAUUACCAGACAAAUGUGCUUCAGCUGAAGCCUGGAUCUGUGCCCAGAUGAUACGGGCAUAAAUGAAUUCACGGACAUGGGUGGGUGUCAAAGCUACCAGAUGUCAGACUAACCAAACAUUUCUUUCGUGCACCCAACCAAGCCCAGUGGGUCAACUAGUCUUAGAAAGAUCUCUAACUUUGUUGAUUGACUUGGGAAACGGAAAUAUCAAACUUCAGCUUCAACAGUAAUCACUACUGAACAGAAUUACGUGAAACAUAUUUGCAUGAUACUUCUAUGGAAAUAAGGGUCAUAUACAUAGAAGUUACACAGUUGACAAGAACUCCAGUGUUUCACUAUGAAACAUUCACUUAACAGAGUAAAUUUCCCUAGCAGUCAGGAAGAUACUUUUAGCUGCUUUUCAUUAAUCAACAGGAAGAUAAGUGUUUAUGACCUUGUUCUUUUAAUUCUGGUUGCAAACUCCUACAACCACAACCACCAAAGGUUUAUUUUCCUCAUCACUGCUCAAUCCCUCCCCUCUCAGCCAUGAUCUUUCCAUGGCCAUUCUUAACUCUUUUCUUUAAGUGUUUCUGCAUUUCCUGGGUUUGUAGUGUGAUGUUUCUGACACACCUGAGGGAUCAUAUUUGACAAAAAAAAGCCUUGUCCCCCUAAUUGGCUUCUGAGAAGGAGUCACCGCCAGAGCAUCAGUUCUAAUGGUGGAGCCCUGCAUCACUAGAGGACUGAAUUAGAAAGAUAAACCUUAGAUUUCUGAGAUUCAACAUGACAUUUGAAGUUCUUCCACCUCAAGUGCAAACACUGUUAUCUGGGAAGAGUGAUUACUACUGCACACAUACCUGUCGAUGUAGAUCUGUCCAUGUAGAUGUGUGCUCACAGCAUGUGCAGCACAUCUGAACAGAAGUGCUGGACAUUUAUAUGGGACAUCAAUCAAGAUUGCAUGCCUACAUAUGUAUAUGUGUGUGUAUUCCAACCACACCAUUGAAUCUGCAGGUUUUUAGUUGUCGACAGGCAUCUACAAGUACCCUGACUAACUAUUCAUGAAGAUACUGGAGAAUUCAGCAUCAUGACAUUUAGACCUGUUGAUUUAUUCAUUCUGAACUGCAGCAUCAUUUCUUCACUAUUCUUCAUUCAUUUUUCCCCUUGUUUAAAAAGUUUCAUUCACCCAGUCAUAAAUAAGUAAGUAAAUAAAUAAAUAACCAGCACCUGGCUUGGGUAACCAAUUCCACACCUUUCUGGAGAAUGAAAUUGAACUGUUUAUAAAUAAACCAUAAGGUGAAAUGUGUUUGCAUAAACUAUUUGAUAAACACUUAGGAAAAGAGCUAUUGGGAAAAGCAUCCAUCUUCAUAUAUUUCACUGUGAAAAUGAAAAACAUUUUUGGGGAGGCGAGUUGUUCUCACCUUUUCCUCUACUUUUGCACUGACUUGGUAUAAAAUCUGUUAACAGAAAAUAUUGAAAUUAAUAGGGGAUUACUGUCUGAACCUAAUAGUUUAAAAGUUUUUCCACUAAUACUAAUAAAUGAGUUGGUCAUGUUAAUUACUGUUGAGGGGGAUUGUCUCAAGGUUUGGCACCUGAUCUGGACAAAUCAGCAAAAUCCCUUUGACAGUCAAAGGAAAGAAAUGGGCUCCUUUCCAGGACUAGCCAGGCCAGCCCAAGAAAUACUUCAUACCACCCACACCUGCAGAAGGUGAUAUGAAGAGCUACAGAGAGACAAUCUGUACAAGUAGCUUUGACAUUAGAUGAAUACCCCCAUAAAGUCCUAUCAAACCAACAUAAGGUUUGUUUCUGAUAUUAUUUCCAAUUGUUACUCAACUACCAAAGGACAUAUGAACAUCAGAAAAACGAUUUCUGUAUAAAUCCAGUAAUAACAAAAUGCAGCAUCUUUGCCACAGCUACAGAACAAAUGCCAGCAUUUAAUAAUUACAUGUGUAUAUUUAUAUUAUAACUGUUUUGUACUUGGAGUUACUAAAAAGGAAUCUAUAAUUACAAUGAACGAUUUUUUUUAUGAUUCUGGGGCCAAAUAGACUGCCAAAACUGCACAACUCAGUACAGAUUUGUAUUACCUGCAAGAUUCUGGAUUAGGCAAGGCAUACGCUGAGAGGUUUGUACUACAAUAUAGCCCCCAAACUUAAAUGUUGUGACAUUAGCAAGUAGCUUAUAAUUAAAGUAUGUUGCCAUUUCACCAGGCUUUCAUUUAUAGGAGAAAGUGCAAAUUCUAUUCUAUGUGAACUUUAGAUACAUCCAACUUUUUUCUUUGUUCUUUUCUUUAAAGCUUUGCAACAAAUGCAUCUCCAUAUGCUUAUAUUAGUUAAUCUAGUAUUAAACAUAUUGGCUGUGCAAAAUGUUGGCAUGCAUUAAUAAAUGUUUUCAUUUUUUUCUAUUCUUUUUUUUUUCCCCUUACUUUAAAUUCUUCCUUUGACUACACAAGCAACAGCUGUCUAGCUUCCUGUUCAGUACUGGAUCUAAUGCCUCUACAGAAAUCUGGGUCAAAACACUUGGAAUGCAUGAAUAUCAAACAGAGUUUUCAAAACAGCAAAUGAAUACAUCUUUAACUGGUGACAUUUUCCUGUAGCAUAUGGCUGCAAGCUCAGGGGACUGCAUGCUUUUUUGAUGAAUAUGUUCCGUCAAAAACUAAGGAAUGGCAGUGGGCUUAUAUCACCUUCUGUUUUGCCUUAUGAAAUGAUAAUGCAAACUCAUAAAUGGAUACUACUAUCACAAGACUUGUGCCUUUUGUGCAAUCCCAAAGUAGUACAAGGCCUAGUGGUUAAGAGCCUAACUCUUUGGUCAUGUUAAAGUAUAAAAGAUAACUGUCAAAGAUGCUUUUUUGUAAAGCACUUGCCCAUGUCAUGGAGGGUGUAAGAUUACCUGCAUUUCCAUACCAGUGAAAAACAGCAACAUACGGUACCAGGAACGAGAUACAGAUUAAUUCUAAAAUUCUGCAAAGACAUUAAACCACGCAUAUAAUUUCUGCAAAAGAAUGGCAUGAUGUAACAAAGGUAAUAUGAAUAUAGUUUAUCUUGCCAGCACAAAUAUGCAGGGAAAGUUGUACACUUUUAAUGACAGAAAUAAGAGAAUAAAAGUAUAAACUAAAAUUAAAGUGCUGGCAUCUCAGUAAACCCCAUAUCAACACUAAAGUGACAGUCCAAAGAAAGCUGCUCUAACAAGCUUGUCUGUUAUUCUCUGAGAAGAAAGGAUGGGUUUGGCAGCAACACCAGAGCCUGUUGAAUAAUUAACCAACUACCAAUUCUGACCAGUAGGAAACGAUGGAGCUAUUAUUUCUGAUCAUGUUUUCAUCUUCUCAAAUAACAAAAAAACAAUUAAAAAAAAAUCAUGCCUAAUAUCUCUUUAGGUAAAAAAAAAUAUAUAUCUAUCUAAUUAAAUACUCUCAAAUAUUCCAUAAGAUGCAGGGCUGGAGAUGCACGUCAGCUGGAAGCACAGAGCGACUCACUCGCUGGACUUGCAGGAGGUUGUGCAGGGGUUCAAAAUAAGAUUGUGGCCAAGGUCUUUGUAGGUUCUGAUCUCCAGUACCCUGUAGGGUGUAGUGGGGCAAAAAAAUGCCAAAUUCAGACUCUAUUUAAAGCAGCCAAGAGUUUUUUCCAUGUUGACAGUCAGAGCAAAUGCGAGAGUUGAGUCGAUCUAGAUAAGCUAUGGUUGUAUGAAACCGCGUUGCUGAUUAUAUGUCAGAGCUUCUUGUAUUUUGUGAAGUCUCUUUUCAGUUAUGUGGAUAGAUCCCCUCACUUUCUGCCACCUUCCAUCUCCUAAGCUCUACAUUAAAACAACCAAGAAUUCAAAUGUCAUUGUCUCUCUGAUAUUUCAGUAGUCUCAGCUGGCUCAGCUCGUAGCUCUGGGCAGAGGCUGGG